GCGGAAGUGGCGAAAUUGGUAGACGCACCAGAUUUAGGUUCUGGCGCCGCGAGGCAUAAGAGUUCAAGUCUCUUCUUCCGCACCA
rnacentral:tRNA from 1 species